GGUAGUUUGUGAUGAAAACUGAAGGUAACUUAAGUAAUUAUUCGUUACUACUCGUAUCUAUAUGCAUGGAACAAAACGCAGUCAGUUCAACAUCUGGUGUAUUUUUUUUACUUCCACUAACACAGUGGUCUAUUUUCAAACUACACGCUAUCUUUAUUUUACGGAGCUUUGGCAGUUUAUACCAUUGUUGAUACUACAUUACAGGAAAUCAUCUUACGUUAUUAUUAUAAAGUUGUAUCGUCAAUUUUAUGUGAUGAGUUGAAAUAUUUGUAUUAAUAAAUACGUUAAAAACCUUA